AGUCCAGCCCGGUCGGACACGCGGCCUUGAAUUUCACGUCCACGCUGGCGUAGCGCGGGUCAAAUCCCGCCAUGG
rnacentral:tRNA from 1 species